AACCUGAAACUACCCAUCGAUUGGGUCGAUUCUACCCGGAUUUUUAUGUUAUUAGCAACUGUCAAAAUCCGGGUAACCGAUCUCACACCAGAUGAGUAAGGUUUACCCUGAUUGUGGGUAAACGAGUCUUCGCGGAAAUCUCGAUACCCAUUUUUUCUUGUUGUGAGUAGACGUCAAAAUCUGGGUAAAUGAGACUUAACAUUUUUUUCAUAUUGCCCGGGGAGGCGUUUGAUCCGAAAAAUAAGCGGCUGCGAAGGAACUUUGGAUGGAGAAAACAGCAGACUGCUGACUGGCAUUCUGUGUCGCUUACCUGGUUGGAACAAAAUUGGCAAGGUUAGGAGUAGUCGCGGGAGUUGUAGCCCCAUCCGAUGCUGGCUGAACAAAUACACACAUUCUGCAAUGGUCACAGAUCUGACCCGGCUUGGUGUGAAAAUCGGCACAAAGAUUAAUAUAAAGAUAUGGAGGCUGCCAUAUCCAUCCCCAUGCCCAUCGUCGAUGGAGCCGUUGUUGAGCCGUUGUGCCAGCGUUUUGCGAUAAAUUCCAUUAUAUUUGUGCUAGAAUACUAGAGACACAUAAAUAAAUUGAU